rnacentral:rRNA from 1 species
CGCCUAUUAGCUAGCCCCAACAAUCAAACUCAACAAACAAACAUAAAUUAAACCCAAAAACACUUAUACUUAAUGAAAUAAAGCAUUUUCCCUCCUAAGUAUGGGAGACAGAAAAGGACCACAAGGGCGCAAUAGAAAAAGUACCGUAAGGGAAAGCUGAAAGAGAGAUGAAAUAGACCAGUAAAGCCAUAAAAAGCAGAGAUUACCCCUCGUACCUUUUGCAUCAUGAUUUAGCCAGUAUAUUCAAGCAAAGAGAACUUUAGUUUGAAACCCCGAAACUGUGUGAGCUACUCCAAGACAGCCUAAUAUUAUAGGGCAAACCCGUCUCUGUGGCAAAAGAGUGGGAAGAGCUUCGAGUAGGGGUGACAGACCUAUCGAACUCAGUUAUAGCUGGUUGCCCGGGAAUUGGAUAAAAGUUCAGCCUCAUGGCUUCUCCCUUCAUAUAAUAAUAACCACCUAAUGAUUAAAAGAAACCGUGAGAGUUAGUCAAAGGGGGUACAGCCCCUUUGAACAAAGACACAACUUUUCUAGAAGGAUAAAGAUCAUAAUUUUUAAGGAGAAAUGUUCCGGUGGGCCUAAAAGCAGCCACCCCAACAGAAAGCGUUAAAGCUCAGACAUACUAUUCCCUCCCCAUAUCCCGAUACCCUUAUCUUAAUCCCCUAACAUUACCGAGCCUCCCCAUGCACCCAUGGGGGCGACCCUGCUAAAAUGAGUAAUAAGAGAGUCACGCCCUCUCUCCUAGCACAUGUGUAAAUCGGAACGGACCCCCCACCGAACAAUAAACGGCCCCAAACAAAGAGGGUACUGGACAAACGUACGAACACAAAACUAGAAAAUCGUCCUAAUCAACACCGUUAACCCUACACUGGUGUGCUCACCAGGAAAGACUAAAAGAAAGAGAAGGAACUCGGCAAACAUUUUCCUUAAGCCUCGCCUGUUUACCAAAAACAUCGCCUCUUGCAAAACCAAAGAAUAAGAGGUCCCGCCUGCCCGGUGACUAUAUGUUUAACGGCCGCGGUAUUUUGACCGUGCGAAGGUAGCGUAAUCACUUGUCUUUUAAAUGGAGACCUGUAUGAAUGGCAUAACGAGGGCUUAACUGUCUCCUCUUUCCAGUCAAUGAAAUUGAUCUCCCCGUGCAGAAGCGGGGAUAAAUACAUAAGACGAGAAGACCCUAUGGAGCUUUAGACACCAAGACAGAUCAUGUUAAAUACCCCCUAAUAAAGGCCCGAACUUAAUGACCCCCUGUCCUAAUGUCUUCGGUUGGGGCGACCAUGGGGCAGCACAAAACCCCCAUGUGGACUGGGAGAACAAACCCAAAACCCUUUUCCCACACUCCCACAAGCAAGAGCUACAACUCUAACUAACAGAAUCUCUGACCUCUUACGAUCCGGCUUCCGCCGAUCAACGGACCAAGUUACCCUAGGGAUAACAGCGCAAUCCCCUUUUAGAGCCCAUAUCGACAAGGGGGUUUACGACCUCGAUGUUGGAUCAGGACAUCCUAAUGGUGCAGCCGCUAUUAAGGGUUCGUUUGUUCAACGAUUAAAGUCCUACGUGAUCUGAGUUCAGACCGGAGUAAUCCAGGUCAGUUUCUAUCUAUGAAGUUAAUCUUUUCUAGUACGAAAGGACCGAAAAGAAGAGGCCCAUACCUUAGGCACGCCUCACCCUUACCUAAUGAAAUCAUCUAAACUAGGCAAGAGGGUGCGCCCACUGUGCCUAAGAGAAUGGCAU